GCUCCUCUAGCUCAGUUGGUAGAGCAACGGACUCUUAAUCCGCAGGUCCUGGGUUCGAAUCCCAGGGGGAGCA
rnacentral:tRNA from 1 species